CACAAAGCAGGUCUUAACUUGGGGUGGGGGUGAGGGUGUGGGAGAAAGGGGAGGGGGAAGAGAGGGGGAGGGAAAAUCACCCACUUGCAAGGUGGUGAAGCAGCUGAGAUUACAGGAAUAAAAACACCAGAGGCAUUUGCCCAGAUACCAGUAUUCAGGAUGCUUCUUAAGCAAAUGGAUAAAUCCUCCCCAAUUUACCUCUCAACCCUCCCGGAAGACAACUUGGGCAUUCAAAUCAUCCAGCCCUCCUGAGAGUAGGAGUGAGUCUGCAGCAAAUAACAAAGGAGGCCUGCGGUUUGCUGCUCGGAGGGCUCCCCUCCUCCUCCCUUUAAUGAUUGGCCGGCUGGCUGGCUGCAAACCAGCCUUCAUUUGCCAGGAGGAAAAAAGGGGAAAAGGUCAAAGUGUGAGAAGCAGAUCGAUUCCUCGCCUCAAGCUAAUUCUUUUAACCAGAUGCACAGCUGUGACUCGGCCUUACCUUCUACCUGUUUUUGCAUCUACACCUGACUGCACAGCACAGCUGGAAAAUUUACACAACAGGGUCCAGGACCAGUAUGAGCACCUGUGAUGUCUAUGUGGAUGGAGAGUGCCUGGAAUUGGCAGGACCGGACGGGGCAGAUUUAGCAACACAACAACUUUAAUAAUUUAGAUGAUGUGCUGUUGUGAGGCGCACGCGGCAGUGAAGGUCGGCAGGCACGACUGCAAAUACUAGCACCUUGCUGAUCGCUACCGCCACAGACAUCGGGGCCUUGAAUACCGCUGGCGUUUGCUGCGGGCGUUCACAACGGAAGGCACUGCGACUUUACAGCGUGAGGAAAAAAUGGAAACGAGAGGGUCAGGAACUCCCAGGAGGGGGAAGAGACCAUAGAACAUUCUUCACUACAGUGGAAGGGCUGGACAAAUGGCACAACACUUGCCAACCAUCUGACCUUUAAGAGUCCUGUUUCUUGCCCUAUGGGUUCAUGAAAGCUUAACGGCCAUGGUGAUGCAUUCAUGGGUAGAAGACACUAGCAGAAAUGCAUUAGUGUUUAGGUAAGCCAUGCAAACUCCACUGGCACCGACAAAUAGCUCUGGGUAUAAGAUGCAUUUUGUUCCAAAGGAUAUUACAACUCUUCAACAGUCAGACGAUUUCACAAUUGGCCAAAUAUUUCUGUGUGUGUGUGUGUGUGUGUGUGUGUGUGUGUUAUUUUUCCCUUGUUAUGUUUCUAAAGCUCUGGUCGCAUUCACAAUUUUCCAGGAAAUUGGUGUCAGGUAACAAACCCACCAGGAACAGCUACCUCUAGAGAGCAGAGCGUUUUAUCUGGCACUCCGAGUUUGCUGGUUGGUUUGCUGCAUACAUGUUUAUUUUCAGUUCAAAGACAAAAUAGAAAACUCCAUAGUGGGACAUGUUACCUCUCAGUUCACACUCUUCCAAUCUCUCAGUUCCCAUAAAAUAAACAUUCUAAAGUGUAAGCGGUGGGAAAUAAUGUAAACUCUGCAGAAACAGAAAAUAAAUUAGUUUCUUU